rnacentral:rRNA from 1 species
GACGAACGCUGGCGGCAUGCCUUACACAUGCAAGUCGAACGGUAACGCGGGGCAACCUGGCGACGAGUGGCGAACGGGUGAGUAAUGCAUCGGAACGUGCCCAGUAGUGGGGGAUAGCCCGGCGAAAGCCGGAUUAAUACCGCAUACGACCUACGGGUGAAAGGGGGGGAUCGCAAGACCUCUCGCUAUUGGAGCGGCCGAUGUCAGAUUAGGUAGUUGGUGGGGUAAAGGCCUACCAAGCCUACGAUCUGUAGCUGGUCUGAGAGGACGACCAGCCACACUGGGACUGAGACACGGCCCAGACUCCUACGGGAGGCAGCAGUGGGGAAUUUUGGACAAUGGGCGCAAGCCUGAUCCAGCCAUGCCGCGUGCGGGAAGAAGGCCUUCGGGUUGUAAACCGCUUUUGUCAGGGAAGAAACGCUCUGGAAUAAUACUCUGGGGUAAUGACGGUACCUGAAGAAUAAGCACCGGCUAACUACGUGCCAGCAGCCGCCGUAA